GUGCCUAAUACAUGCAAGUCGAGCGGAGUUGAGAGGAAGCUUGCUUCCUUUCACACUUAGCGGCGGACGGGUGAGUAACACGUAGGCAACCUGCCCUCAAGACUGGGAUAACUACCGGAAACGGUAGCUAAUACCGGAUAAUUUCUUUCUUCUCCUGAGGAGAGAAUGAAAGGCGGAGCAAUCUGCUGCUUGGGGAUGGGCCUGCGGCGCAUUAGCUAGUUGGUGGGGUAACGGCUCACCAAGGCGACGAUGCGUAGCCGACCUGAGAGGGUGAACGGCCACACUGGGACUGAGACACGGCCCAGACUCCUACGGGAGGCAGCA
rnacentral:rRNA from 1 species